rnacentral:lncRNA from 1 species
AGCUGGAGAAUAAGUCAAAAGAGACUGAAGCAACUAUUGAAAAGUGUGAGGAGGUUAUGCUCUCAUAUCAAUGUCAGCUCAACAAAGAUAAAGAGUGGAUGUCUCGAAUUAUCAAGGACUACAAGAACUUAAAUAAUUUUCAAAAUGAAAUGACUGAAGCCUCAGAAAGAAUCUUCGACUAUGGCUUCAAGAGCUAUCAAUACUUGACUAUCAACCAAUAUUCCGACAUCGA